rnacentral:rRNA from 1 species
UACGUAGGGUGCGAGCGUUGUCCGGAAUUAUUGGGCGUAAAGAGCUUGUAGGCGGUCUGUCGCGUCUGCUGUGAAAAUCCGGGGCUCAACCCCGGACUUGCAGUGGGUACGGGCAGACUAGAGUGCGGUAGGGGAGACUGGAAUUCCUGGUGUAGCGGUGAAAUGCGCAGAUAUCAGGAGGAACACCGAUGGCGAAGGCAGGUCUCUGGGCCACUACUGACGCUGAGAAGCGAAAGCAUGGGGAGCGAACAGG